UACGUAGGGAGCAAGCGUUGUCCGGAUUUAUUGGGCGUAAAGAGCUCGUAGGCGGUUUAGAAAGUCAGGUGUGAAACCUCCAGGCUCAACCUGGAGACGCCACUUGAUACUUCUAUGACUUGAGUUCGGUAGGGGAUCACGGAAUUCCUGGUGUAGCGGUGAAAUUCGUAGAUAUCGGGAGGAACACCAGUGGCGAAGGCGGCGAUCUGGGAAGAUACUGACGCUGAGGUGCGAAAGCGUGGGGAGCAAACAGG
rnacentral:rRNA from 1 species